rnacentral:rRNA from 1 species
UACGGAGGGAGCUAGCGUUGUUCGGAAUUACUGGGCGUAAAGCGCACGUAGGCGGCUUUGUAAGUUAGAGGUGAAAGCCUGGGGCUCAACCCCAGAAUUGCCUUUAAGACUGCAUCGCUUGAAUCCAGGAGAGGUGAGUGGAAUUCCGAGUGUAGAGGUGAAAUUCGUAGAUAUUCGGAAGAACACCAGUGGCGAAGGCGGCUCACUGGACUGGUAUUGACGCUGAGGCGCGAAAGCGUGGGGAGCAAACGGG